GACGAACGCUGGCGGCGUGCUUAACACAUGCAAGUCGAACGAGUGGCGAACGGGUGAGUAAAACGUGGGUGAACUGCCCUGCUCUUAGGGAUAAGCUUGGGAAACUGGGUCUAAUACCGGAUAGUGCAAGAUGAGCUCGCGGCCUAUCAGCUUGUUGGUGGGGUAAUGGCUACCAAGGCGCGACGGGUAGCCGGCCUGAGAGGGUGUACGGCCACAUUGGGACUGAGAUACGGCCCAGACUCCUACGGGAGGCAGCAAUGGGGAAGAUUGCACAAUGGGCGGAAACCUGAUGCAGCGACGCCGCGGUAAUAC
rnacentral:rRNA from 1 species